rnacentral:rRNA from 1 species
GAUGAACGCUAGCUACAGGCUUAACACAUGCAAGUCGAGGGGCAGCGGGAUUGAAGCUUGCUUCAAUUGCCGGCGACCGGCGCACGGGUGAGUAACGCGUAUCCAACCUUCCGUACACUCAGGGAUAGCCUUUCGAAAGAAAGAUUAAUACCUGAUGGUAUGAUGAGAUUGCAUGAUAUCAUCAUUAAAGAUUUAUCGGUGUACGAUGGGGAUGCGUUCCAUUAGGUAGUAGGCGGGGUAACGGCCCACCUAGCCAACGAUGGAUAGGGGUUCUGAGAGGAAGGGCCCCCAACAUGGAACCGGGAAAAGGUCCAAAAUCCUAAGGGGAGGAGGAGUUGAGGAAAAUAGGAAAAGGAAGAGGAGCUGAAACAGCCAAAUAGCGGGAAGGAAGAAGGGCCUACGGAAUGUAAACUUCUUUUAAUAGGGAAAAAACCCUCCCACGUGUGGGAGCUUGUAUGUACCUUAUGAAUAAGCAUCGGCUAACUCCGUG